ensembl:lncRNA
CAGAUUUGACUGGAAUCUGUUCCUGUGCAGCAAAAAAACAGGAUUAAAGAGUGAAGAGACAACUGAGCAGCAAGCUGAGAACAUCAUCCGUCUGGAAGCACAAGACAGUAAAUGUCGGAGGUUUACCUAUAACCAGGCCAUAAAGAGUCACGGCCGGGCCUCAAACAGCCUCACGUCUCUCUAGCAGACACUACAGGAAAGGACGGAGCCACGGCAGGCUGAGCCUCGCUGGAAAGGUCUGCACGCACCCAAUGCACCGUCACCACCAGGUUGAUGUGACCCAGUGCCCUUUGUGAGCCGUCAUCCUCGACCCCGUAAAAGAAUCUCCCUACGAUCCACAAAUGUCACGCCGCUGGGUGAAGCUUGUGACCUCCGUGUUUCAGGACUAAUCUGCCACACUUUUUAUAGGCUACAAUAAAAACACUUUGAUCCUGAAACAAGCUCAUCGGGAACGCAGAUCUAGUUUGUUAUCUCCACCAGGCAGAAGAUCAUGUGUUUGUGUGUCUGGACGCAUUCUAUUUGUGUGCGCUCAUUCAUGAAUGUGUGCUCAAAGCACAAUGAAUAUGAAUAUUGAUAAUUAUCAGCCUCACAGGUACAUCAACCACAUCCCACAUUAAAUACAUGUCGGUGUUGAAUCAGUGAGGGUGAUAGCUGAGUGAGAUUGAAUGGUAGGAUGAAACAUGCGGGAGGGUUUGAGGAUGAUGGAUGAUGGUUGUGAGAUG